AGUGAACGCUGGCGGUAGGCCUAACACAUGCAAGUCGAACGGCAGCACAGUAAGAGCUUGCUCUUACGGGUGGCGAGUGGCGGACGGGUGAGGAAUACAUCGGCAUCUACUUUUUCGUGGGGGAUAACGUAGGGAAACUUACGCUAAUACCGCAUACGACCUACGGGUGAAAGCAGUGGAUCUUCGGACCUUGCGCGAUUGAAUGAGCCGAUGUCGGAUUAGCUAGUUGGCGGGGUAAAGGCCCACCAAGGCGACGAUCCGUAGCUGGUCUGAGAGGAUGAUCGGCCACACUGGAACUGAGACACGGUCCAGACUCCUACGGGAGGCAGCAGUGGGGAAUAUUGGACAAAGGGCGCAAGCCUGAUCCAGCCAUACCGCGUGGGUGAAGAAGGCCUUCGGGUUGUAAAGCCCUUUUGUUGGGAAAGAAAAGCAGCAGGUUAAUACCCCGCUGUUCUGACGGUACCCAAAGAAUAAGCACCGGCUAACUUCGUG
rnacentral:rRNA from 1 species